AGUGAACGCUGGCGGUAGGCCUAACACAUGCAAGUCGAACGGCAGCACAGUAAGAGCUUGCUCUUACGGGUGUCGAGUGGCGGACGGGUGAGGAAUACAUCGGAAUCUACUUUUUCGUGGGGGAUAACGUAGGGAAACUUACGCUAAUACCGCAUACGACCUACGGGUGAAAGCAGGGGAUCUUCGGACCUUGCGCGAUUGAAUGAGCCGAUGUCGGAUUAGCUAGUUGGCGGGGUAAGGGCCCACCAAGGCGACGAUCCGUAGCUGGUCUGAGAGGAUGAUCAGCCACACUGGAACUGAGACACGGUCCAGACUCCUACGGGAGGCAGCAGUGGGGAAUAUUGGACAAUGGGCGCAAGCCUGAUCCAGCCAUACCGCGUGGGUGAAGAAGGCCUUCGGGUUGUAAAGCCCUUUUGUUGGGAAAGAAAAGCAGCAGGUUAAUACCCCGCUGUUCUGACGGUACCCAAAGAAUAAGCACCGGCUAACUUCGUG
rnacentral:rRNA from 1 species